AUUGAGAAUAUAAUCAUGCGGCCCAUCACCGGCCCAUUGAGAAUAAUAAAAGGUGACUUUUAAAUCGUCGAAUCUGAAACUGUCCAUCACCGGAUGGGUCGUAUUUUUCAUCCGUUGUGAAUUGCAGUGAAGUUCUCUGCAGUUCAGACGUGGAUAAACGGUUGGAUCUCGCUUUUUGCGCAUCGAAUCGCGCCGUACGAGAAUUGUACCAAACGCUCGUCUUAAUCAUAUAUUCAUAUCUAAAUCCGACCCAAACUCAUCCAUGUCCAUUCCUAGAUGAAAAUUGAGAAUCUAAUUGAUGAUGUAAAUGCUAAUAUAUCACUCCCUUAAUACAUUUACACACGAUCACUAGUUAUAAAUUAAAGUAUAACAAGUUACAACUGUAUCGAUUGAAGCUAUAUGUUUAAGUUAUCCAUUAAUUAAUUCUGAUUAAUUAAGUAAUUCUGAGUAGAUAGUUACAAGGCCCAUAUUCUCAAGGCCCAAUAGCUUAGUCCAAUAGCUUAGAGUAUAAAUAAUCUCUUUGUAAUUAUUUUUAUUACUUUUUCAACUUUUAUCUAAAAUUCAAACUCUAAACCCUAGAAGGGUUUCUCCCAAAACUCGCGACUCUUCACUCUCCUAACCCUAAGCCGACCUCCAGAGCUUCCGGUCGUCUUCGCCGCCUCAUCGCCGUCUGUAUUCUUGUCAUGGUACCAGAGCCCUGGUGGUGAAGCCCGUGUCGAGUUGCUGGAGCGUCGCUGUAACUAUUCUCUAAAAGAGUGCCAAAGGAGAAGAGUUUCUGUUCCGAUAUUCUUCGAUGAUCUUGAUCUUCAACAUCCGUCUGGACUACUGUCUCUAGACAGAUCUGGUAUAUCUAAACCCUAACAACAACAAAAAAAAUAUAUACAAUCUUAAAAAAAAAAAAAAAAACUCCUAAAAUCAUUGCAUGUGAUCUUGCUCUUGCUUAGAUGUUUAGUCUCCAUAAUGUCAUGAUCUUUCGACUGCAUGCACGAUCAUCUAAACAUAAUCUACAUGCACUGUCACAUAAACAGAUCAUGACCAUGUUAGAGGGUAUAUGCCCCCAUUAUUUUGGGAAUGUUCCCCACCUAUUAAAUCAUACAUACAUGCAUGCUCUUCUGAGAGAACAGGCUUCUGUCUCACCUAAUGAUUAUUUAAAACCAUCCUAUGCUAAAUGUGUACUGUUAUGCAUGACUACUAUGUAUAUUGCUCUGCAUGACUAUUGUACAUAUUGCUGUUCAAAGUCACCCCAUUCUAAUACACAUUCUACUGUGCAUGACUUAAAUUGCAAGGGACUCUGUGUCUCCAUUCUUAUUGCAUAUAAGUAUACAUCACAUAAACUGAUAUAUCACUAUACACUCACUAUCAUGUCUACAUCUACAUAUGGACCAAACUAUUCAUACUAUAAAUGCAAACAAUAUCAACUAUUCAUUUACAUCAUUAAAUCAUCUAUACAUAUUCAUGCUAUUGAUACUCACUCUGAUAAAUACACGCUUCCGCAUAAUUCUUUAUAUCACAUAAAGCAUAUUUGUAGAUUGCAAAUAGAUUUAAUUCAAUUAUCUUACAUAAGCAACUCAAAGACUCUGUCUUCUCAUUGUCAAAUCUAUAUGACCAUUCAAUGCAACUUUCUAAUUCAUAUAUACUAUUGUAAUUCCUAUGGUCACAGAUCAAACAACAUGUCUGAUAAGACCCCAAGGGGUGGACCACUCUUUGAUCCUGUCUCCCCAUACUUCAUAAAAGCCACUGAUUAUGGCCCCCCAAGCAUAAUCAACACACUCCAAGGCAGCCAAAACUAUUAUCCCUGGAGUAGGGAGAUGACUACCAUGUUGAUCACUAGGAGGAAAUUAGGUUUUGUCUUAGGUACCCUCAGGGAGCCAAAUGUGAAAAAUACUGAUGAAUAUGAGGCCUGGGUCACCUGCCAUGGUGUCAUUAGGCAGUGGAUCUGGAGUUCAGUCUCCCCAGAGAUUGCAUCCCAGAUCAUGUACACUGAUGAUGCAUCAGUGAUAUGGAAUGACCUCAGGGACCAAUUCAGGCAGUCCAAUGAGACCCACAUCUAUCAGCUGGCUCAUGAUGUGGCUAUGAUGCAACAGGGUUCUGACUCUGUCUCCAAAUUUUGUUCUAACCUAAAAUCACUAUGGAGAGAGGUCGAUGCCUAUGGAGAGAUACCACACUGUGACUGUGGGAAAUGUAUUUGUAAUGUCAAUGGGAGGGCCAAUGAUAGAGAAGAGAGGCUCAAGAUUAGAAAAUUCCUAAUGGGUCUAAGUGAUGAGUAUAGGCAGGUCAGGUCACAUAUCCUAUCAAUGGAGACACUGCCUAACUUUGGAAAGGUCUACUCCAUGGUUGUUCAUGAAGAAUCCCAACUGCAAUUAACCUCCAACACAAGUACACAACAAGGCUCAGCCUUUUAUUCUGUGAAGGGGAAGUCACCAAUCACCCCCAAUGUAAAUCAAAACCCUAAGUACUCAGCUGUUCCACCCACACCUUCUAAUCCAAGGAAAAGGCCACCAACUCCAUCUGAACCACUCUACUACAAGAGUGGCAAGCCUGUAAAUCUGAGAUAUUAUUGCUUUCACUGCGCUGCCUUUGGCCACAGUGAUGAAAAAUGUUUUUUACAGCAUGGCUAUCCUAACAAAGGGGCAUCCACCAGUAAACCCAAUACCUCCACCCAACCUGAAUCCAUUAAGGUCCAAGGUUCUGUGAAUCAUGUGGGUACUGAGAAACAAGAGUGGUCACCCUGGAACAGUGCUGCCAAGCCUUCAAAGGAUGCUGACAAUCCGAUAGGACCAUAUGGCUUCCCUCUCUAUUCUGAGAAGUACAACCCGAAGCCAUUGCCAAAAUACAAUCCUGAUUCAGGUACUGCAAAUUCUAUUUUUGAUAAAUCUAACUUUCAUAACUACUGGAUUAUAGAUUCAGGUGCCUCAGAGCACCUCAGUGGCAAUAAAUCCUUAUUCAAAAAUCUAAAAAAAUGUGAGCCAUUCACAAUCUCACUUCCAAAUGGAGACAAACAAUUAGUCUCAGAGAAAGGUGAUGUGUCAGUAUCACCCAACAUCACUCUCAGUGAUGUAUACUUUGCAAAGUCCUUCCAAGUCAACUUGCUAUCAGUUAGCAAGUUGACAGAGGAGGAUCUAUACUAUGUUCAAUUUACUAAAAACUCUGCCUCUAUCUAUGACAAGGUUCAGAGGAGGGUAGCUGGACAGAGUGAAGCACAUGGAGGAUUAUAUCUACUGCCACAGACCAGUGGUAUUUUUUGUUUUGUUGGUGCCACAACAGUAAACACUUGGCACAACAGAUUGGGCCACACAUCCUGUGGCAGACAAAAUUAUAUUAUGAACAAUUUUACUUUAAAACAUGAUAACUCUAAAUUAGUUAAAUACUGUGAUAUUUGCCACUUUGCUAAACAAUCUAGAAAAUCUUUUCCUUUAUUUGCAUCUAGAUCUAAGAGUGCAUUUGAUCUUCUUCACAUGGAUGUGUGGGGGAACUUUCACACUCCAACCAUCCAUGGCAAGAAAUAUUUCUUGACAGUGGUUGAUGACCACACAAGAUAUACAUGGACUUUCCUCAUUGCUAUGAAAUCUGAAUGUUUUAAUUUAUUUAAAAACCUAUAUGCUCUUAUUCUAAAUCAAUUUGGCAAAUCUGUCAAAGCAAUUAGGACAAAUAAUGGUGGGGAGUUCUUCUCCUCCACCAUGGAUGACUUCCUCAAAGAGAAAGGCAUCAUACAUUACUCAAGCUGUCCUCACACACCACAACAGAAUGGUGUGGUUGAGAGGAAGCACCAACACUUACUCAGUGUGGCAAGGGCAUUACAAAUGCAAUGCUCUUUACCCAUUGAGCUAUGGGGAUUUUCAAUUCUUCAUUCAACAAAGAUAAUAAAUAUGUUACCAUCCAAGGUAACUGACAACAAAACCCCUUUUGAACUUAUACACUCAAAAAGGCCAGACUUUGAGAAAUUGAGAUCUUUUGGAUGCCUUUGCUAUGCCACUUGUUUGGUAAAGAAUGAUAAAUUCUCCCCCAGAGCAAACAAGUAUAUAUACAUAGGUGACUCCUCUAAACAAAAGGGAGCCAUCCUAUACAACAUAGAAACUAAACUCAUAACAAUCAGUAGGGAUGUGACUUAUUAUGAGGAGGUUUUCCCCCUCAAGAAGGAUGAAAUAUCACAAGAAGAUCAAUCAUUACUUCCUCAUCACUCAUAUUCAGAAAACAUAGACUCACAAGGUCCACCUGAGAGCCAAUGCACUGAAAGUGAUGAUGAGAACACUGAUGACUUGGCUGUUCAAAACACUGAUGAUUUGAUCAUCCAAAACACUGAUGACCUUGUCAAUCAAACCAAUCCCAUCCAUGACCCAAUCACUAGGAGAUACCCUAGGAGAGAAACAACAAGAUCCACUAAAUUAAAUGACUACUAUUGUUCAUUUGUCACUAGCACUGGUAGGUCAACAGGAACCAAGUUUCCCAUGCAUGACUAUUUAACAUAUAAGAGACUCACCACAUCUCAAACUGAUUACCUAGACAAGAUCUCCACCACAACAGAGCCCUCAUCAUUCCAACAAGCAAGCCUCAGCCCUGAAUGGAUUAAGGCAAUGAAUGAGGAACUAGCAGCUCUAGAGCUGAAUGACACAUGGGACAUUGUCCCCAAACCAAAAGACAGGAAAAUUGUUGGUUCUAGAUGGGUCUAUAAGGUGAAACACAAAUCCAAUGGUGAUGUGGAGAGGCUAAAAGCAAGGUUAGUGGCUAAAGGCCACACCCAAAUAGAAGGUUUUGAUUAUAAAGAAACCUUCUCCCCUGUUGCUAAGAUUGUGUCAGUAAGGACACUAUUGGCAGUAGCAUCUAUUAAGGACUGGACUACUUACCAAAUGGAUGUAAGUAAUGCAUUCCUACAUGGAGAUCUCUCAGAAGAGAUCUACAUGUCACCUCCACCUGGGCUACUGUCCUCUGAUGAUCCCAGAGUAUGUAGACUCAAGAAAUCUCUAUAUGGAUUGAAACAAGCAAAUAGGAAUUGGUAUGAAAAAUUAACCAAUGCCUUAGUUAAAUUUGGAUAUACUCAAUCUCAUGCUGACUACACAUUAUUUUUUAAAUCAAAUGGAAACUCUUAUACUUGUCUUUUAAUCUAUGUGGAUGAUCUGAUUAUAUCAGGGAAUGACCAGGUUGAAAUAGAUAAUCUAAAGUGUCACUUACACCAACAAUUCCACAUAAAGGACUUGGGGAAACUCAAAUACUUUCUGGGCAUUGAGGUGUCUCAAACAAACAAAGACAUAUUUAUCUCUCAGAGAAAAUAUGCUCUUGACAUAUUACAUGAAUUUGGCCAACUUGGCACUUCAGAUCCAAAAUCCCAAUAUCUCACUCAUCUAAAGACAAUGAGGCAAAUCCCAUUCUAAAAGAUCCAUCACUAUACAGGAAAUUGAUUGGUAAAUUACUAUACUUAACAAUUACUAGGCCUGAUAUUGCCUUUGCAGUAAGCCACUUCAGUCAAUUCCUUGCAAAUCCAUCCAAACAACAAUAUGAAGCAGCCCUCAAAAUUCUAAAAUACAUCAAAGGAUCACCAGGGAAAGGUAUCUUAUACAGGAAGAAUGCUUCAUUACAAUUAAAAGCCUAUUGUGAUGCAGAUUGGGCUGACUGCCCAAGAACAAGGAGAUCUAUCACUGGGUACAGUAUUCUGCUAGGUGGAUCUGCAAUCUCUUGAAAAUCCAAGAAACAAUCCACAAUAAGCAGAUCCUCUGCUGAGAGUGAAUAUAGGUCAAUGGCAUCCACUGUGUGUGAAAUAAUGUGGAUACACUAUCUCUUGAAUGACUUGCAGGUUCAACAAGCUGAAGAAACUAAACUAUAUUGUGAUAACAUGGCAGCCAUACAUAUUGCUUCAAAUCCUGUAUUUCAUGAAUGCACCAAGCAUAUUGAAAUUGAUUGCCACUUGGUGCGUGAUCAUCUACAGGCUGGUUUAUUCAAACUGGAACAUGUUCCAUCGACAUCACAGGUUGCUGAUAUCUUAACAAAACCAGCAAGUCUGGAAUCUUUGAGAAAUCUGCUGCCCAAGCUGGGACUUUAUGAUCUGCACUCUCCAGCUUGAGGGGGGGUAUUGAAGCUAUAUGUUUAAGUUAUCCAUUAAUUAAUUCUGAUUAAUUAAAUAAUUCUGAGUAGAUAGUUACAAGGCCCAUAUUCUCAAGGCCCAAUAGCUUAGUCCAAUAGCUUAGAGUAUAAAUAAUCUCUUUGUAAUUAUUUUUAUUACUUUUUUCAACUUUUAUCUAAAAUCCAAACUCUAAACCUUAGAAGGGUUUAUCCCAAAACUCGACUCUUCACUCUCCUAAACCUAAGCCGACCUCCAGAGCUUCCGGUCGUCUUCGCCGCCUCAUCGCCGUCUGUAUUCUUGUCAAGUUCAACAGAAAAAAAACGAGACCAGAGAACAUCGUAACGCACUAGCCAUCCACAGACCACCGGAAACUAAAAUGAACAUCAGCUCAAACACAGAGAAAUAACGAGCCAAGGGAACAACGGAACCCAAUAGCCGUCCACAGACCACCUGAAACUGAAAUGAACACCAGCUCAAACACCGAGAAAUAACGAUGCCAGAAAACAUCGGAAACCACUAGCCUUCGAACGAUCAACGGAAAAUAAAGGGAACAACAGAUCGAAGAGCGAAAAAAAACGAUGCCAGAGAACAGAAAUAACCCACUUGCCAUCGACCGAUCAUCGGAAACAGAAAUAACCACCAGCUCACACAAAGAACAAGGACUGUACUAAACCAAACACUGGAAGAACAUAAAAAAAAGAGAACAUGAUCAAUCAACUAGCAAUGAGGAUCAUUGUAGCUAUGUUCCAUUUAGGUGUUGUUCUGGAAGGUUUUUGGGGUUUGAAGGGGUUUUGGUUUCUAAGGGGUAUUUUUUCUUUGAAUUUGGUCGAAGAUGGAAGAUGGUAGAAGAUAGAUGUAGGAAGAAGAAGACGGAAGAAGGUUUAGGGGAGGUCUU
rnacentral:lncRNA from 1 species